CUCUGCUGUGACUGUCAGAAACUUAGUGGAUCCUCCUAUAACAUCCUCAGCCUACAGGAGGGUGUUACAGUGUACUGGUGUGAGUCUGCAUCAGGAGAGCUCAGCAAUGCAGUCAGCAUCACUGUAGGAGGUUUCAGAUGUGAAAGCGGUUCAUUUAUCGUACCGUUCAUCAUCGGGCUUGUUUGUGGAAUUAUUAUUUUGCUUCUGCUGCAGCUGAUGUGUUGCUACAGAAGGAUAAAGGAUUCUUGUUUUAACAGGUUCACUCAACCUCUGAACAUCAAUCAAACUGCACAACAAACAGCCAACCAGAGUGAAACCCAAAUUUACUCCUCUCUUCUUCAUGGUGAUACUUCAGUCUAUGAAUCGGUCAGAGUCUCUGGAAACACCGGAAGUGGGUGGACCAACAGAUGAAUACAGAAAUGUCACAUCUACUCUUCAGACUGAAGGUUUUGAUAAAAGGAGGAGACAUGACAACACAGAGGAGAGCUCUGACUACAAUAAUGUGAAUCUUGAAUCAGCCUCAGGUCCAUAAAAAGAAGUGGUCAACAACACAUCCAGGUACCUUCAGGGUUAGACCUGGAUUUUCUGUACUAUGAAGGUGGUUCACUUCUUACCAGAAUAUAUCACCAUGGUAAC